rnacentral:rRNA from 1 species
AAUUUUGGACAAUGGGGGAAACCCUGAUCCAGCCAUCCCGCGUGUAUGAUGAAGGCCUNCGUGUUNUNAAGUACUUUUGUCAGGGNAAAAAAGGUUCUGGCUAAUACCCGGAACUGAUGACGGUACCUGAAGAAUAAGCACCGGCUAACUACGUGCCAGCAGCCGCGGUAAUACGUAGGGUGCAAGCGUUAAUCGGAAUUACUGGGCGUAAAGCGUGUGUAGGCGGUUCGGAAAGAACGAUGUGAAAUCCCAGGGCUCAACCUUGGAACUGCAUUUUUAACUGCCGAGCUAGAGUAUGUCAGAGGGGGGUAGAAUUCCACGUGUAGCAGUGAAAUGCGUAGAUAUGUGGAGGAAUACCGAUGGCGAAGGCAGCCCCCUGGGAUAAUACUGACGCUCAUGCACGAAAGCGUGGGGAGCAAACA